CCGGCUGAAGCUAGACUUCAGUUGGACUCAUCUUCACCUAACUCCUUCCCCUGCCCUAUCCAUCCCUCCCUCCAUUAUAGGUUUUUCCUGAGAGUGCUCCCACCAUUAAUCAGGGGCAGUGAAUUUGCUGUCUCAGGUUCUGCUUCUAAGAUGCCCAGCCAAAGACAGCCCUUCAGUAGGACACAAUGAUGGCUUGACCCAGAGGAAGACACAUGACCCCAACAUAGCUACAGCCUUCUGGAGCAUUGAUAUGGACUCUGGGAAGAAGCAGCCAGGCUGGAGUGCAGUGGCGUGAUCUCAGCUACAACCUCCACCUCCCAGCCGCCUGCCUUGGCCCCCCAAAGUGCCGAGAUUGCAGCCUCUGCCCGGCCGCUACCCCAUCUGGGAAGUGAGGUGCGUAUCUGCCUGGCCGCCCAUCGUCUGGGAUGUGAGGAGCCCCUCUGCCUGGCUGCCCAGUCUGGAAAGUGAGGAGCGUCUCUGCCCGGCCGCCAUCCCACAUAGGAAGUGAGGAGCGCCUCUUCCCGGCCGCCAUCCCAUCUGGGAAGUGAGGAGCGUCUCUGCCCGGCCGCCCAUCGUCUGAGAUGUGGGGAGCGCCUCUGCCCCGCCGCCCCGUCUGGGAGGUGAGGAGCGUCUCUGCCCGGCCGCCCCGUCUGAGAAGUGAGGAGACCCUCCGCCUGGCUGCCACCCUGUCUGGGAAGUGAGGAGCGUCUCCGCCCGGCAGCCACCCCGUCCGGAAGGGAGGUGGGGGGUCAGCCCCCCGCCCGGCCAGCCGCCCCGGCCAGCCACCCCGUCCGGGAGGUGAGGGGCGCCUCUGCCCGGCCGCCCCUACUGGGAAGUGAGGAGCCCCUCUGCCCGGCCAGCCGCCCCGUCCGGGAGGGAGGUGGGGGAGUCAGCCCCCCGCCAGGCGAGACGCCCCGUCCGGGAGGGAGGUGGGGGGGGUCAGCCCCCCGCGCGGCCAGCUGCUCAGUCCGGGAGGGAGGUGGGGGGGUCAGCCCCCCGCCCGGCCAGCCGCCCCGUCCGGGAGGGAGGUGGGGGGUCAGCCCCCCGCGCGGCCAGCUGCUCAGUCCGGGAGGGAGGUGGGGGGGUCAGCCCCCCGCCCGGCCAGCCGCCCCGUCCGGGAGGUGAGGGGCGCCUCUGCCCA
rnacentral:lncRNA from 10 species